GAUGAACGCUGGCGGCGUGCCUAAUACAUGCAAGUCGAGCGAACGGACGAGAAGCUUGCUUUUCUGAUGUUAGCGGCGGACGGGUGAGUAACACGUGUAUAACCUACCUAUAAGACUGGGAUAACUUCGGGAAACCGGAUCUAAUACCGGAUAAUAUUUUGAACCGCAUGGUUCAAAAGUGAAAGACGGUCUUGCUGUCACUAAUAGAUGGAUCCGCGCUGCAUUAGCUAGUUGGUACGGUAACGGCUUACCAAGGCAACGAUGCAUAGCCGACCUGAGAGGGUGAUCGGCCACACUGGAACUGAGACACGGUCCAGACUCCUACGGGAGGCAGCAGUAGGGAAUCUUCCGCAAUGGGCGAAAGCCUGACGGAGCAACGCCGCGUGAGUGAUGAAGGUCUUCGGAUCGUAAAGCUCUGUUAGUAGGGAAGAACAGAUGUGUAAGUAAAUGUGCACAUCUUGACGGUACCUAAUCAGAAAGCAACGGCUAACUACGUG
rnacentral:rRNA from 1 species